rnacentral:rRNA from 1 species
AGGUACAGCGGGAAGGCCACCUGGCGACAGGGAGGCGGAACCCGAAAGCCUGUCUCAGUUCGGAUUGGAGUCUGCAACCCGACCUCCAUGAAGCUGGAUUCGCUAGUAAUCGCGCAUCAGCCACGGCGCGGUGAAUACGUUCCCGGGCCUUGUACACACCGCCCGUCACACCACGGAAGUUGGGGGCGCCCGAAGCCACUUAGCUAACCCUUUUGGGAAGCGAGUGUCGAAGGUGAAAUCAAUAACUGGGGUGAAGUCGUAACAAGGUACC